rnacentral:rRNA from 1 species
GAUGAACGCUGGCGGCGUGCCUAAUACAUGCAAGUCGAGCGAACAGACGAGGAGCUUGCUCCUCUGACGUUAGCGGCGGACGGGUGAGUAACACGUGGAUAACCUACCUAUAAGACUGGGAUAACUUCGGGAAACCGGCGCUAAUACCGGAUAAUAUAUUGAACCGCAUGGUUCAAUAGUGAAAGACGGUUUUGCUGUCACUUAUAGAUUGAUCCGGGCCGCAUUAGCUAGUUGGUAAGGUAACGGCUUAACAAGGCAACGAUGCGUAGCCGACCUGAGAGGGUGGACGGCCACACGGGAAGUGAGACACGGUCCAGACUCCUAAGGGAGGCAGCAGUAGGGAAUCUUACGCAAUGGGGGAAAGCGUGACGGAGCAACGCCGCGGGAGUGAUGAAGGUCUGCGGAUCGUAAAACUCUGUUAGCAGGGAAGAACAAAUGUGUAAGUAACUAUGCACGUCUUGACGGUACCUUAUCAGAAAGCCACGGCUAACUACGUG